rnacentral:rRNA from 1 species
GACAGAGGGUGCAAACGUUGUUCGGAAUUACUGGGCGUAAAGCGAGUGUAGGCGGUUCGGUAAGUCGGAUGUGAAAGCCCCGGGCUCAACCCGGGAAGUGCACUCGAUACUGCCGAGCUAGAGUAUCGGAGAGGUUGGUGGAAUUCUCGGUGUAGCGGUGAAAUUCGUAGAUAUCGAGAGGAACACCGGUGGCGAAGGCGGCCAACUGGACGAAUACUGACGCUGAGACUCGAAAGCGUGGGGAGCAAACAGG